AGCGAACGCUGGCGGCAGGCCUAACACAUGCAAGUCGAACGGAACCUUCGGGAUUAGUGGCGGACGGGUGAGUAACACGUGGGAACGUGCCCUUUGGUUCGGAACAACUCAGGGAAACUUUAGCUAAUACCGGAUGUGCCCUUCGGGGGAAAGAUUUAUCGCCAUUGGAGCGGCCCGCGUCUGAUUAGCUAGUUGGUGAGGUAAAGGCCCACCAAGGCGACGAUCAGUAGCUGGUCUGAGAGGAUGAUCAGCCACAUUGGGACUGAGACACGGCCCAAACUCCUACGGGAGGCAGCAGUGGGGAAUCUUGCGCAAUGGGCGAAAGCCUGACGCAGCCAUGCCGCGUGAAUGAUGAAGGUCUUAGGAUUGUAAAAUUCUUUCACCGGGGACGAUAAUGACGGUACCCGGAGAAGAAGCCCCGGCUAACUUCGUGCCAGCAGCCGCCGUAA
rnacentral:rRNA from 1 species